AUAAUAUAAUAAUAAUAAUAAUAAAAUCUAAACUAAAGAGAAGCCCAAACCACCAAACAUCUUCCUCUUCAUUUCGCUUCACUUCACAUAUCUCUCCUUCAACCUCUUCUUCAUUCGCACGCAACCGUCUCCUUCAACAAGAUCUCUAUCAUUCGCCCCCUCGCUCUGCCUCAUAGCCUCUCCGACGUUCGCCUCCCUCUCAAUCUUCACCUCCACCUCACAGUCUCUCCAUCGUUCGCUCCUCUCUUGAACAUAUCUAAGGUAUCGAGCAUAAUUCAGGUUAUUCCAUCCCAUAAUGUCAAUUUCGGGACAAAGCGAGCUUAAUUGAAUGGGUAGAGUGUCAAUGGGAGUGAGGAAAUUUAAUUGGAGCAAAGAAGGAAGGGUGCUACAAGACAGAGUGAACGAUUUUCGUGCACAACCUUCAACACUGUGAAGUUAUCCUUGUUAACUUUGUGGAGAAUAUAUCCAAGUAAGACACAUAAUUCCAAAUCUAGCUAUUUAAAAAAAAUUGCAAAUAUGGCGUUGAAAACUAAAAAAAUGAUAUUUUAUCUCGGAGUCUUUUAAAAAAUACAACAAAGAGGUAAAAUAUUUACAAAGUAUAGAACAAUUUUGAAAGUGAAAAAAAUCCACAUGCCCACAAUAAAAAAUUCCAAAAAUGCCACAUUAAUUGACAUCCAAUGUGCGUGAUAUAUUAGGGAAAUGAUCAUUUAGAUUUGACUAUUCUUUCUGAGAUCCUUUAGAUUUGGGUAGACAAAUCUCAACGAUUUUUUUUCAAGAUUUUUUUUGUACACAAUCGUUUAUAUUUGAAAAACGAUCGUUUAGAUUUGAUCAUUUAAAUUUGGGUAGCCAAAUUGCAACGAUUUUUUUUCAAGAGUUUUUUAGUACACGAUCAUUUAUAUUUGAAAAAUGAUCAUUUAGAUUUGGUACACAAUGUUUAUAUUCGUAACAUGACCCACUACAAGAACGAGAGUUUCCCAACAUCGUGACGGACGUCGGGAAACAAAACGUCAAGAAACAAAACUAAUAUUGACGCAGAUAAUGUGGCGUUGGUUUAAUCUCGCAAGCCUGAUGUCGUAAUCCCAAACGUCAGACAUCGUCCGUCAUUUUCAUUUUUUUUAAUUUAUCAUUAAGCUUUCCCCACGCACUCAAAAAUAACGUCAGGGAACCUUAAAAUGUAAAUUUUAUUUCUAAACUUUUCCCCGACGUCAAGGACAAACACAUCAGAAAAAAGUGAAUAUAUUAUUUAAUUGUUGAGCAUCCCCUAACGUCAACGUUCCUGGCGUCGGGAAAAGAAUUAUUAUUAUUUCAUUUUUUAAUUUUCCCCGACGCCAUGCGAACAUAUGUAAAAAAUGUGUAAAUAUUUUCUCGACGUUUCACUUUAUGGCAUCGGAAAUAGGGAGAUCUCCCGACGUCUUCGAAGUGCGUCAGAAGAUCUCCUACAUAUUUGAGUUGUGCGUUCAUAGAAAACAGAACUUAAAUCGAAAGGAAAAGAGGAAGAUCAGGCCUAAAGAGAGAGAUCGUCGUGCCAAAGUCGUAUGCCAUCCUAUUUGACUGCCGCUCGCCACCUAUCCUGUCGUACCACCCCUGUCCAAUGUUGUUGCCUACCCUAUCUCUUUGUUCUUUGAACUUCAAAAAAGUAAUUUUAAAAAAAAAAAAAUCCCUAAAACUCUUUGAUAAUUUAGAUUUAUUUUGUGGUUGAAUUAGAUUUAUAUUUGAUUUUGUAGGAGUGGAUUAAUGGAUUAUAUUGUAAUGAAUUAGUGUGUACAAUUUGUGGAAUGUUGUGAUUGUUGUUGUAUUUGUGGAAUAAAUUCUUUGAACAGUAAAACAAUAAAACAUAAUACGAAGAGAAAGAA